UGUGCACCUGUCUCCUCUUCCCCGCUGCGCACCCGUCUCCUCUUCCCCACUGCGCACCCGUCUCCACUUCCCCACUGCGCACCCGUCUCCUCUUCCCCACUGCGCACCCGUCUCCACUUCCCCACUGCGCACCCGUCUCCUCUUCCCCACUGCGCACCCGUCUCCUCUUCCCCACUGCGCACCCGUCUCCACUUCCCCACUGCGCACCCGUCUCCUCUUCUUAAUGCCACUGCACCACUUGCCAUAACAGGAAGGCAAACGUGUCACCAGGCUCGCUAAUUCACUAAAUUAGAGGUGAAAGGGAGAACAACCCUCGUAAUAAUUCUUCAUUAUGAAUACAAAAAAUGCUGUUACAAUAUGCAUUGUUGGCUUCUGGCCUACUUUAACUGUUCCCAGAGUUGUUCCUGAUAAUAUAAGCCCAAACUGUGAAAGUGUUGUGUGUUAGCAGGGCUUUUCCAUGCUUAGCUGGUGACUUUGUGUGAUAGCAACUGCGGUCGGUCCGGCUUUACCGUCAACUCGACGUGUCGUCUCCCGAUAUUUAGCUUCAUUUAGAAUCUAAAGUUCUGGUCUUCAAGAGACCACCACAGUGCAUUGAGAUGUCGGUUAUAAAAUAAAAUUUUUAUUGAUGGGUUGCAUAUUGUAAGUGCCAGAAUUGUAGGAAAAUAUAGCCUAUACUGAAGGUCAUUCUACAGGAGUUGUGGUAUUUGGAGUUGUAAUGUCUUGAAAUGCGGUUUGUUUUUGUGACUCAAAACUUACACAAUACAAUUGCAGUAUUAAUGAACCUUUUAAGUUAAUGAAUCCACACAAAUGCCAGCUUGCUGUAUUGAAAUAAUUUUUAGAAUUUUCUGAAAUUCAGUUCAGUCUGCACAGAUAGGCAAAAACAGUGUAUGUUAAUACAGUAGGAUCCAUUCCAUUCAUGCCAAUGUAAAGAGAUUGCAUAUUUCCAUAACCCAUUAGCGCAUAUUUCAAAUAUUUUCAUGGAAUUGUAUUACAUUAUACAUCAAAUUACAUCACCAAGCGAGGAUGAAGUGUCUGGUGGGGGCAGGAGCAGCACAACGCACAGGUGUCCAACCAGGUGAGACGCAGGAGGUGCCAGGGCCGGAGUCACCCCAUAGUGCCCGGAACCUCCAAGUGUUGCAAACUAAUCCCUCUAGCAUCAAUCUAACAGGAGGUGGAUCAAAUGGCCUGCAGCUAACAUGACUUCACUGUGGAAGCAGUUUGACGAAGAUGUCAACCAAAUUCUGGAGGCAACGGUGAAGGCAGAGGCCGAUAGGAAGCUACAAGCCAUGACAACAAUCAUUGUCAGCAUCGCAGCUGAACGGUUCGGAGAAGAGGAGAAGAAAAGCUCCAGAACAGCUUACUCGAAGAAUCAAAGAGCGGUGAAGAUCCACAACAUCAGGCAGGAGAUGAAAGCGCUGAAGUCCCAAUACAAGGAGGCAUGAGAAGAGGAAUGCAUUGGCUUGGCCCAGCUGAUGUGCAUCCUAUGGAAGAAGAUCAGAGUCCUCCGCUGGGCAUCGGAAGUGGCGUCGCAAAAGGGCCAGAAAACGUGCGGCCUUUAUUGCCAACCCCUUCAAGUUCACCAAGGAGCUUCUGGGGCAGAAGCGCAGUGGGAAACUGGCCUGCUCGCAGGAAGACAUAGACCAACAUCUGAAGAAGACAUACAGUCACCCUGAAAGAGAGCAGGAGUUGGGAGAGUGCAACAUCUUAAUAGACCCCCCUGAACAGGAUGUGCAGUUCGACAUGUCGGAUCUGCAGCUAAAGGACGUCAGAGAGGUAGUCUGCAAAGCAAGGGCAAGCUCUGCUCCAGGACUAAGUAGCACCUCGUACAAAGUGUACAAGAACUGUCCCAAACUCCUGCUGCAUCUGUGGAAGAUCCUGCGAGUCUUCUGGAGAAGGGGGAAGAUCCCAGAACAGUGGAGAGUGCCUGAAGGGGUGUGGAUCCCGAAGCAGGAAAACUUCACCCAGAUAGACCAGUUCCACAUCAUCUCCCUGCUGUGCGUCGAGGCGAAGGUCUUCUUCAGCGCCGUUUCCAAGCGGCUGUGCACCUACCUGGCAAAGAAUACCUACAUCGACACUUCAGUCCAGAAGGGUGGUAUUUCAGGGAUGCCAGGCUGUCUGGAGCACACCGGUGUGGUGACACAGCUCAUCAGGGAGGCCAGAGAGAACAAGGGCAACCUGUCAGUGUUGUGGCUCGACCUGGCAAAUGCAUAUGGCUCCAUUCCACACAAGCUGGUGCAGCUCACACUGACCAAACAUCACGUCCCCAGCAGAAUCAGAGAUCUCAUUGCUGAUUACUACAGCAACGUCAGGAUGAGGGUCUCUUCAGGAGCAAUAACAUCAAGCUGGCACAAGGUGGAGAUCGGCAUCAUCACAAGGUGCACUAUCUCUGUGACACUGUUCUCCUUAGCCAUGAACAUGCUCACCAAGUCUGCUGAACCGGAGUGCAGAGGGCCCAGAAUGAAUUCCGCUCAACGGCAACCACCAAUCAGGGCGUUCAUGGAUGACCUCACAGUCACCACAGAAUCAGUCCCAGGCUGCCGGUGUAUUCUGCAGGGGCUCAAAAAGCUGGUGGAGUGGGCCCGGAUGCAUUUCAAAGCAGCCAAAUCUAGAUCUAUGGUGCUGAGGAAAGGGAAGGUGGAGGACAAGUUCCGAUUCAAGAUUGCAGGCACAGCCAUCCCAACCAUCACAGAGAAGCCAGUCAAGAGCUUAGGGAAGGUUGUUGACAGCUCUCUGAGGGGGACAACAUCCAUCCAGUUGACCUGCACCGAGUUGGAUAGCUGGCUGAAGGCUAUGGACAAGUCUAGCCUACCUGGGAAAUUCAAAGCUUGGGUGUAUCAGCAUGGCAUUCUUCCCAGAAUCCUGUGGCCCCUCCUCGUCUAUGCAGUUCUGAUCACGACAGUCGUGACCUUAGAGAGGAGGGUCAGCAACCACCUCAGGAGAUGGCUGGGGCUGCCAAAGAGCCUGAGCAGCAUCGCACUCUACGGACACCACAACAAACUGCAACUACCCUUCAAAUCCUUGGAGGAGGAUUUCAAGGUAACAAGAGCCAGAGAAGUGGUACAGUACAGGGACUCACAUGAUCCGAAGGUGGCCAAAGCAGGGAUCCAAGUGAGGACUGGCAGGAAGUGGAGGGCACAGGAAGCUGUUCAGGAAGCAGAGGCAAGGCUGUGUCACAAGAGGCUGGUGGGAGUGGUCACACGAGGCCGAGCUGGGCUAGGAUCCUUUCCAACUCCCCAAAUGAACACCAUCAGAGGGAAGGAAAGGCGCCGCCUAGUUCAGGAGGAGGUGAGAGCAGCAGUGGAGGAGACAAGAACCUGCAAGGCAGUGGGAAUGAAGCAACAGGGGGCUUGGACUAGAUGGGAAAAUGUGGUCGAGAGGAAAGUGACCUGGGCUGAGCUUUGGAAAGCCGAGCCACACCGCAUCAAAUUUCUCAUCCAGACAGUGUAUGAUGUGCUUCCAAGCCCAUCAAAUCUGCACACAUGGGGCAAAGCAGAGUCACCAGCAUGCCCACUGUGCUCCAAGCGAGGAACCCUGGAGCACAUCCUCAGCUGCUGCACAAAGGCACUUGGAGAGGGACGGUACCGAUGGAGGCAUGAUCAGGUCCUGAAGACCAUCGCUGAAGCCAUCAGCGCAGGAGUUGAGUGGGCAAAGCGGUCCCGACCCUCCAAGCAGACCAUCGCCUUUGUCAGAGCUGGGGAGCAGCCAGAACCCACCAGAAGAACAUCUGCAGGCAUCCUGACCUCUGCACGGGACUGGCAACUGUUGGUGGACCUUGAACGGCAGCUGAAGUUCCCCAACCAUAUCGCAGCAACCACCCUGCGACCAGACAUUGUUCUUGUGUCUGAGUCCACCAAGCAAGCUGUGCUGUUGGAGCUGACAGUCCCAUGGGAAGAUUGCUUGGAAGAGGCCUUUGAAAGGAAGCUCUCCAAGUGCGCGGGACUGGUCAGCAAAUGUCAGCAGGCUGGGUGGAGAGUGAGGUGUCUCCCAGUGGAGGUUGGAUGCAGGGGAUUCGCAGCCCGUUCUUUAGCCAGAGCCUUCAGCAAUUUGGGCAUCGAGGGAGAGAGGAAGAGGAGAGCCAUCCGCAGUACCGCCAAUGCGGCAGAGAGGGCUUCAAGAUGGCUGUGGCUCAAAAGAGGAGAGCCAUGGGGUCAUAAGUAGCUAGCCAUCUGGACACAAGCUGGGGUCUGAUCAGCCCCGGCUGGGUCACCUGGAGGAGGGUGUAUGAUGUUGAAAGACCCAAAACACUCGAUGAUUCCAGGAACAUCACUGAAGAUGUGUCCAGAUGCAUCAGCAGAUAUGAAGCGAUCCAUCAGCCACCCAGGGACGUACAGUUUUGACAGGAUGAGUCACUCGCCAAAGGAGUGUGCGUAUUCUCACCAGCGGCUAGGCCAACGGCGCUCCCGCACGUGCUCAGACACAGAGUCCCACAGCGACGGC